GCAAGCGUUAUCCGGAAUUAUUGGGCGUAAAGCGCUCGCAGGCGGUUUCUUAAGUCUGAUGUGAAAGCCCACGGCUCAACCGUGGAGGGUCAUUGGAAACUGGGAGACUUGAGUGCAGAAGAGGAGAGUGGAAUUCCACGUGUAGCGGUGAAAUGCGUAGAUAUUGGGAGGAACACCGGUGGCGAAGGCGGCUACCUGGACCGGUACUGACGCUGAGGCGCGAAAGCUAGGGUAGCAAACAGG
rnacentral:rRNA from 1 species